UGUUUUUUAUAAGUUUUAGGGAUUUUGGAGAGUCUAACCUGCCCGGUGACUGAACAGUUUAACGGCUGCGGUAUCCUGACCGUACGAAGGUAGCAUAAUCACUUGCCUCUUAAUUAGAGGCUUGUAUGAAUGGUUUAACGACGAUGUAGCUGUCUUCGAUAUAUUAUUUAUAAAUUAUAGUCUAAGUUAAAAUACUUAGAUUGUAUUGAAGGACGAGAAGACCCUGUCGAGCUUGAAGAAAUAUAUUGAGGCAACAUAUUAUUUUUAAAUUAGGCUUUAAUUUUAUUAUUUUGGUUGGGGCGACCGGGGAACAUGAAAAGCUUCCCCAUGAUUUAAAAAGUUAUAACUACAGAUCCAGUUAAAUAUUACUGAUAGGUAAAAUUAGUUACCGCAGGGAUAACAGCGUAAUCUUUCUUGAGAGUUCGUAUCGAGAGAAAGGCUUGCGACCUCGAUGUUGGAUUUGGGUAACCACUGGGUGCAGCAGCCCUGCUAGGUUGGUCUGUUCGACCAUUAAAUCCCG
rnacentral:rRNA from 2 species